CAACUACUUACACAGCACUUACAUUGUACUAAGUAUUUUAAGUAAUUGAGGGAUAACUUAAAUGGGAAGGAAAAAAUAGCAUAUAUGGGAGGAUGUGUGUAGGUUAUAUGCAAAUACAACGCUAUUUUAAAUAAGGAAUUUGUGACUGUGGAGUUCGGAAGCCAUGUGGGGGUCCUGGAACCAGUCCCCCAUGGAUACGCGAGAUAACUGUACUGUUCUAUUUUUGAGGCAAAUUAAAAUUCUCAUGAUUAAAAGCUUAAAAAAUAUACAAGUAGAGUUAAAUAAAGGCAUUUUAAAAUAAAGACCUGAGGCAACUUACCCAUGGAAAAAGACCAUCACUGAAGUAAAUUAAAAGUACUUCAGGAGAUAGGAACUGCAAGACCCAAAAUAUUAAGUAGAAUGAACAAAAAUGAAAUAGGUAAAAUUAAGGAAAUUUGUUGUAUAUAAAAUAGCAAUAAUAUCAAAUUUGUGAGAUGGAAAAAUAAGCUCAAUCCUAAUACUAAAUAAUAUAUAAAGCGGGAAGGAGGUGAUUGAGUUGUAUGCUCCUUGUGUUCUUCCACUGGGAACUCAUAGUAUUGAUUAGCUUUAGAGUAUAAAUAUGCAUGAUAAAAUAGCUAGGGUAACCAUUCAAAUGAUGGACAUAGUGAGAGGCUGAGGCAGGAGAAUCACUUGAACCCAUGAGGCAGAGGUUGCGGUGAGCUGAGAUCAGGCCAUUGCACUCCAUCUCAAAAACAAAAAACAAAACCAAAAAGAAAACUGACUCUCGAAAGUAAGAAAGACAUACCAGGUGAAUAAUAACCAUAUAAAGUUUUGUUUGGCUAAAUUAAUUUCAUACAUUUUAAGACAAAGAGCACUACUAGAGGUAAUGAAAUGAGGAUGUAAAGUACUAAUUAAUCAGGAAGAUAUAAAAUUCUAGUCUCAUAAAACUUAUAAAGCAGAAGCAGCUACCACAAUUAAAGGAGAAAUAACACAAAUCGGUAUCACUAUAAGAGACUUUGAAACACUGCUCAGCAAUAGAUCAUAUGAAAACAGGAUAUGAAGAUUUAAACAAUGAGUAUACUUAAUCUAACAUACUUAGGAACACUACUGAAUGUAUGGAGUAUAUAUACAUUCUUUUGAAGUACACAUGAAAUGUUUAUAAAACUUGACCAUACUGUAUGAUGAAUAUACUGUAAAGCUAGUCUUAAACCUUUCAAAAUUUGGUAUUUAAAACAUCACAUGUGCCUGUUAAAUAUGCACACCUACUAUGUGCCCACAAAAAUUAAAAAUAAGUUUAGAAAAAGAUUUGGCAUACGAACAUGUUGUCUGACACGUGUUAAUUACAAUGUAAUUAAGUUGUAAGUUAAUAAAAAGAUGUUGAUGA